rnacentral:rRNA from 1 species
GAAUGCUGACAUAAGUAACGAUAAAGCGGGUGAAAAGCCCGCUCGCCGGAAGACCAAGGGUUCCUGUCCAACGUUAAUCGGGGCAGGGUGAGUCGACCCCUAAGGCGAGGCCGAAAGGCGUAGUCGAUGGGAAACGGGUUAAUAUUCCCGUACUUGGUGUUACUGCGAAGGGGGGACGGAGAAGGCUAUGUUGGCCGGGCGACGGUUGUCCCGGUUUAAGCGUGUAGGUGUGUGUUCCAGGUAAAUCCGGUUCACUUUAACACUGAGGCGUGACGACGAGGCACUACGGUGCUGAAGCAACAAAUGCCCUGCUUCCAGGAAAAGCCUCUAAGCAUCAGGUAACACGAAAUCGUACCCCAAACCGACACAGGUGGUCAGGUAGAGAAUACCAAGGCGCUUGAGAGAACUCGGGUGAAGGAACUAGGCAAAAUGGUGCCGUAACUUCGGGAGAAGGCACGCUGACACGUAGGUGAAGUGAUUUACUCACGGAGCUGAAGUCAGUCGAAGAUACCAGCUGGCUGCAACUGUUUAUUAAAAACACAGCACUGUGCAAACACGAAAGUGGACGUAUACGGUGUGACGCCUGCCCGGUGCCGGAA